rnacentral:lncRNA from 1 species
GCUAGCGCAUGUUCGGCUUGUUCAAUAAACGAUCCAAACACAAGCUACUCGUUAAAAUAAUAAGCUAAAAAAUUCAGCUCACGCGAAGAGUAAGUUAAAUUGCCAACCCUACUAUUAAGUGAAAAGUUGAAAAAAAAUUAAAAAAUUAAAAUCUUAAUCUAAUAAUUAAAUUUCUCAAAAUAUAGAUCUCUUUACACUUAGGUUGGCCUAAAAUCUAAAUAGUAAAAAUUUUGAAUAGGGCUCUUUUUGCAUUUAGCCCCCUGACAAAUUUUUAUUUUAAAAAUAGUCCUAUCAAAAUUUAAUUUGCAAAAAUGGUCCUGGGCCUGCCACGCAGGCGCCACGUCAGCACCACGCGGGCGGGGCCGGGGCCAGUGUGUUAAGUUGAACACGAUGAACCAUUCACUAUAUUCAAACACGGUGAAUGGUUCACCGUGUUUCAUAUUUGUAUUCCUUUUUUUUUUCGUUUUCAAAAAUCCAAAUCCGAACCUGAAAAUCAAAUUAAAAUCCAAACCUGACGGAUUUUAAAAAUUCAUACUCAUAUCCAUAUCUGACCAAAAACUCGAAACCCGAACCUGAACCCAGCAGAUUUUAAAAAUCUAUACCGUUGGAUAGAGAUCUAAGAAAUAAAAAUUAUUAAAUAUUUUAUAUAUUGUAUAAAUAAAUAAAAAUAAAUUAUGUAUAUAUAUAAUUUAUUCGGAUUUGGAUUCAAAUAAUAUUUCGGAUAUCCAUAUCCAUUGACAUUCCUACUCUCUAAUCAUCUUUUCAAUAUUUAUAUUACAAAAAAUACGUACUAGCUCUAAACAAGGUGAACCAUUCACCGUGUUUAGACACGGUGAAUGGUUCACCGGGUUUAACUUAACUACCGCCUCCAGCCCCGCCCGCGUGGCGCUGACGUGGCGCUUGUGUGGCAGGAGCAGGCCAUUUUUGCAAAUAUAAAUUUGCUAGGGUUAUUUUUAAAAAUAAUUUUUUUCAGGGAUCCAAUUGCAAAAAAAA